CCUACGGGGGGCAGCAGUGAGGAAUAUUGGUCAAUGGGCGAGAGCCUGAACCAGCCAAGUCGCGUGAGGGAGUACUGCCCUAUGGGUUGUAAACCUCUUUUGUCAGGGAACAAAGGCGGGGACGCGUCCCCGGAUGAGUGUACCUGAAGAAAAAGCAUCGGCUAACUCCGUGCCAGCAGCCGCGGUAAUACGUAGGGGGCAAGCGUUAUCCGGAUUUACUGGGUGUAAGGGGAGCGUAGACGGCAGCGCAAGUCUGGAGUGAAAUCCCAUGGCUUAACCAUGGAACUGCUUUGGAAACUGUGCAGCUAGAGUGCAGGAGAGGUAAGCGGAAUUCCUAGUGUAGCGGUGAAAUGCGUAGAUAUUAGGAGGAACACCAGUGGCGAAGGCGGCUUACUGGACUGUAACUGACGUUGAGGCUCGAAAGCGUGGGGAGCAAACAGGAUUAGAUACCCUUGUAGUC
rnacentral:rRNA from 1 species